rnacentral:rRNA from 1 species
UACCAGCACCCCGAGUGGUCGGGACGUUUAUUGGGCCUAAAGCAUCCGUAGCCGGUUCUACAAGUCUUCCGUUAAAUCCAGCUGCUUAACAGAUGGGCUGCGGAGGAUACUAUAAGACUAGGAGGCAGGAGAGGCAAGCGGUACUCAGUGGGUAGGGGUAAAAUCCGUUGAUCCAUUGAAGACCACCAGUGGCGAAGGCGGCUUGCCAGAAUGCGCUCGACGGUGAGGGAUGAAAGCUGGGGGAGCAAACCGG